UACGUAGGGGGCAAGCGUUGUCCGGAUUUAUUGGGCGUAAAGAGCGUGUAGGCGGCCAGACAGGUCAGCUGUGAAAACUCGAGGCUCAACCUCGAGACGUCGGUUGAAACCGUCUGGCUAGAGUCCGGAAAAGGAGAGUGGAAUUCCCGGUGUAGCGGUGAAAUGCGCAGAUAUCGGGAAGAACACCCGUGGCGAAGGCGGCUCUCUGGGACGGUACUGACGCUGAGACGCGAAAGCGUGGGGAGCGAACAGG
rnacentral:rRNA from 1 species